UCGUCAGUGCGGUACAUCCUGACCUGCCCCGCCUUGCGGGCAGCGCGUGAUGAGCGCGUGCGUGAUGACGCGUAGUGAUUACGUCACGCCGGCGGCGCGGGCGGCUGCAACAAAGCCCGCGCCGCCUUCGACUCUGAC